GUUGCCAGAUUCCUUUUAGCGGGAAUUUUAAAAUUUUAUAGCAGUUUGGUUUUAAAUUUGACAGUUCUGUUUUCUCAAGUCAAAAAUCUUAACCUUACUUUUACAAGUGAUUAAGAUUAUUUUAUUUACAUGUAAAUUGAAACAAUAAAUAUUGUGCUUUGUCAUAAUUUAAAACUCAUUAUGUUGAAGUCUUUUCCAGUUGAUAAAAUUGCAAUUCAAAAACUUUUAGGUAGAUUUGUACUGUAUGGAUGGCACAGGAAGAGAACAGAGAACAAGAGUACAAGAACAUGAAACAUCUUAUUAUGAAUGUAUAUGUAUGUGAUCCUCAAAAAAUUAUUUUUCAAAACAAGAUAGAGAAUGAGCUUUAAAAUCCCAAGGAUCCUGCAAAAUGUCUAUUUGGUGUACUAGUCGAAUAAUAGUACCUAUCUAAAAAUAAUGAAACUGUUUUAAAACACAUUAUGGGCAUGAGGAUGAUAUAGAGCACUUACAUAAAUACCAAAAUCAGAUAAAUAUCUCUUCAAAGUUUAUUUUGAGACUUUCUUCAAAAAUUAAACUUCAGACUGUCCAGGAUAGCAUAAUAGCAUAGGAGGCAAAUUAAGAAGAAUUAAUUUACUUACAAGAAGAGAUAUCACAAACAUUAAACUCUCUUAUGGCAUUGAUUUGAAAGAUGGGUAUAUGUACAAUGAUGAUGCAACCAGUGUUUAUUUUUGGGUUGAAUGCUUACAGAUUAUUUAUUUUUUCCAAUAUUAUUUUACAAACAACAGGGCAUACUAAUGGAUAUUCAUUCUGAAUUUAACAUUUAUGAUUUUUGUCUUAUUUUCCUUAAUACUGUGCCAAAAGGAAAUGUUAAUUAAGUUUGGCAAAUCCUUUAUCGCAAUCGAUGGAACUCAUGGGCUCAAUUCCUAUGACUUUGAACUUAUGACAGUAUUAGUAAAAGAUGAAUUUGGGAAUGGA